CCAGGGAAUCUCCUCCUCCCCUCUUGUGAUUUGUUAAUGGUUUAGCAGUUGGCACCCCCUGUUACACCCCUGUGUUCCCUGGCUGACCCGUUGUCACCACCCCUGGAUCCUCCCCCAUUUAUAAGUGGCGUCAAGGCUUUGUCGUGACACCAUCAGGUCCACUCGCCUGUGUGGGGAACCAAGAACCCACUGGGAGGAGGUUACUUGCCUGCCUGUAACCCUGACCCAUCCACGCUGUCGCAGUGCAGAACUGAGCUAGCCUGAGGUCAACGCCUGCCAGGUGUGAGGGACACAGCGACAAUGAACUUCUCCAGUGUGCUUGUCAGGAGCCUGCUCCAGCACAGGUUUCCAAGGGAUUCACAGCCCCCUCUCAGAUAUCCAGCUGCUCCAUGGGACUGCAGGUGGCUCUCUGGAACCCUGUGCUCUUCCAUGGGCUGCCAGGGCACAGCUGCUUCACCAUGGUCUUCACCACAGGCUGCAGGGGAAUCUCAUCUCCUGCACCUGUAGCACCUCCUCCUCCUCCUUCUACACUCAUCUGGUAGCUCUUGCCAUCUUCACAGUUUACAUGACUACACAUGACUCAAAGCACUUCUUAGGAUGCUGAGAAGAUGUAAAUUUCACCCACUUUUUACAAAUAUCAGAUGUUUAGCUAUGCUGUAUAAGGUAUGAAAA